rnacentral:rRNA from 1 species
AGCGAACGCUGGCGGCAGGCUUAACACAUGCAAGUCGAGCGGGCGUAGCAAUACGUCAGCGGCAGACGGGUGAGUAACGCGUGGGAACAUACCUUUUGGUUCGGAACAACACAGGGAAACUUGUGCUAAUACCGGAUAAGCCCUUACGGGGAAAGAUUUAUCGCCGAAAGAUUGGCCCGCGUCUGAUUAGCUAGUUGGUGAGGUAAUGGCUCACCAAGGCGACGAUCAGUAGCNGGUCUGAGAGGAUGAUCAGCCACAUUGGGACUGAGACACGGCCCAAACUCCUACGGGAGGCAGCAGUGGGGAAUAUUGGACAAUGGGCGCAAGCCUGAUCCAGCCAUGCCGCGUGAGUGAUGAAGGCCCUAGGGUUGUAAAGCUCUUUUGUGCGGGAAGAUAAUGACGGUACCGCAAGAAUAA